ACACGCUGGGGGAGAGCUUCUUCGGGCUGACUCCUUAACUGGUGAUGCUUUGUUGAAGCAACUUUGGCACCAUUCAGAUGCGAUCAUGUGCUGUUCCUUAAAAACAAAUGUAAUCCAUUUUACUAAUCACUUCAUGAUAAUUUUUCGAGAUAAAAAUAUGGGAUAUUCAAUAUUGUGCUAGAGACUGUUUAAGCAAAGCUAAACAUGAUUUGAAAAAUAUGUUGCAGGCAUCUCCUGUUUUCACCUUUGCAAAUCAGGCAGGAUUGGACAUGCUGGAAACUACCCUUGUGGCCCUUCAGGACAUCAUGCUUGACAAGAUUCUUGACGAGGCUGGAAGGAAGAUUCUCUGCUCUGAGUUUGCUAAGAUCAUGCAACAGGUAAAGUUUUCAAUAUCUGGAGCCAACACUCAGUUCUAAGCAGAUCCAAACUGAACCACCUGACACCUGAGUUAAUAGUGUGAUGAAAUUUGAGGGUAGAUCUAAAAUUAACCAUUAAACGAAUAUCAGAUAUUGUGUAAAAGAUAUUUAAUGUGCUAUUUUCUCAACUGCAGGGAUUCGCUUACUUGCCAGGAGGGAUGUGUGUGUCCAGCAUGGGCAGGGCUGUGUCCUAUGAACAAGCAGUUGCGUGGAAGGUUCUGGAUGACGACGACUCCAAUCAC
rnacentral:lncRNA from 1 species